UACGAAGGGGGCUAGCGUUGCUCGGAAUCACUGGGCGUAAAGCGCACGUAGGCGGGUUCUUAAGUCAGGGGUGAAAUCCUGGAGCUCAACUCCAGAACUGCCUUUGAUACUGGGAAUCUCGAGUCCGGGAGAGGUGAGUGGAACUGCGAGUGUAGAGGUGAAAUUCGUAGAUAUUCGCAAGAACACCAAUGGCGAAGGCAGCUCGCUGGGCCAUUCCUGACGCUGAGACGCGAAAGCUAGGGGAGCAAACAGG
rnacentral:rRNA from 1 species